rnacentral:pre_miRNA from 1 species
CAAAUACUCCCUCCGUCCGGAAAUACUUGUCAUCAAAAUGGAUAAAAGGAAAUGUAUCUAGACGUAUUUUAGUUUUAGAUACAUCUAUUUUUAUCCAUUUUGAUGACAAGUAUUUCCGGACGGAGGGAGUAGAAA